rnacentral:rRNA from 1 species
UACAGAGGCCUCGAGCGUUAGGCGGAAUCACUGGGCUUAAAGCGUGUGUAGGCGGACUUCUAAGUACCUUGUGAAAUCCCACGGCUCACCCGUGGAACUGCUCGGUAUACUGGUCGUCUUGAGCCCUCUAGGGGCGAGUGGAACAAAUGGUGGAGCGGUGAAAUGCGUAGAUAUCAUUUGGAACGCCAAUGGUGAAAACAACUCGCUGGGGAAGUGCUGACGCUGAGACACGAAAGCCAGGGGAGCGAACGGG